ensembl:lncRNA
AGAUUGCAUUUUCUUUUCUGAGUUGGCAGAAGUGUCUACUUAUGCAAAUUAAAACCCUUCCCAUUGCCUCUUAUGGGUGCAGAUACAUUCAGGUGCUUGUUAGUACUGCUCAAGUUGGAGAAGCCCUCAUCCUUGGGAUGUUGAACUGGCAGGGAGCAUAAUGCCUGCUAAUAUUGCCUCUGAGGCUAUAUGACACUGGUUCCCUGUAUUUUUAAUCCUGUUACCUGAAGAGACCAGAGAGUGCUGUCUUUCCUGAAGGCCACUGAGCACCACCACUCUGGGAAAUGACAGAAGGCUGAAUGUUUUGGCAAUCAAAUUUGGGAAGCAGUUUCUGCAAGAGGUCGGUGCUGCCUGAGUUCCCCCAGCAGAAGACACUUUAUCCCAUUACGAACAAACGGCAUUACUUACUGAAGGAGUUGAAUGCUGUGGUAUUUCCCAGUGUGCCACAUGGCUGCAGAAAUGAAAAUAUCACCUCUUCUAAAAUUUGCUUUAAAAAUGAAUGCACAAACUGCAAUCAAAAUAGAAUCAAAGGAAAAAAGCAAACAAACACAACGAGCUUGAUGAAUAUGGAAAAGGGAGAAAUGAAGGAGGUGGUGAAAAGAAACAGCAAGUCAUGUAAAGGAAGCUGUAAAAAGUCUCCUGCGAUUUAGAUUAGGACAGUUCAGGAAUUCUUCCAUUCUUAUUUGAGUUUCUGUGAAUUUUACUAUCGCUUGCAGAUGUGUAGAGCCUGAGAUGGGUAUGGGAAUGUUCCUGAAAUACAAUCCUUCAGGUAAAAAAAUUAAGGAAACAGAUGUUCUAAGGCUUUUCCUUCUGUUUUUUGUUAAUUAGUUAUUAAGUCAUGGUUCUGACCGUCCCCACAUUUAUUGUAACAUGUUUUACGUAACUCAUCUUCAUUUUGAAUUAAUUUAACAGAAUAAUUUGGAAGGACCAGAGCUCUAACCAGAGCUCUGCUCUAUUAUAGUUUAGUAGUAUUCAAUAUUUCAUAGCUUUUGCUUUUCAGAAGUUUUCUUCAGAGGAUGAAGAUGAGAGCUCAGGGGAUCAAAUAGAAUAUAGAAGCUCAGCUUCAAGUCAGUCAGAAAAAUCCACUAACUAUAAUCACUGUAGUCAUUAUUUCUGAAAGUUGGAGAACUCUUCAUUAGAUGAACAAAAUAAUAACAAGAGGCAAAACCUGAGAAAAUACUCAUUAUUACUGCUUGUAUUACACAGUUGAACACAGAAGUUUUAGCAGUUUAGGCAACUCAGAAACUGGAAAACACACUUUGAAGCCAAUUAACUUUUUCUCAAUUCUUGGCAUUUUAUUGAUGAUCAAAUAUAAUAUAGCUAUCAGAACUCACUGUCUGAACUGAGAAUAUCAGGAUUCUUUCUGAAUCUGAUAAUUUUUUGCUUGUGACGCCUGAAACUUGACUCUCCAGCAGAUCUAGCAGAUUUCAGCCUUUCACCUCAC